AUAGGGGCUAUAUAUAUAUAUAUAUAUAUAUAUAUAUAUAUAUAUAUAUAUAUAUAUAUAUAGGGAGAGGUUCAAGAAAGAACCAUAAAUAAAAGAAGACCGGAGAACCAUUUUCAGCCAUUCGAUCAUCAAGAUCUACGGUGGAUGCAUCAUCUUGUUGGAUAAAUGCAGAUCCUGGGUUCGAAUCCUGAAGGGAGCAUUUUUUUAAAAAAAUUUUAGUGCAUUAAUUUUAACAGCGGAUGCAUUAAUUUUUACAGUGGAUGCAUUAGAUUUGAUGGUUCUCCCGUUAUCACAAAUAAUGUAGUUCUCUUUAGAACCACACCAUAUAUAUAUAUAUAUAUAUAUGGUGAUAUAUAUAUAUAUAUAUGGUGAGGCUACCAUGAAAACACUCUUAAGUGUAUAAAAUAUGGAUGAAAUCCAUCCAUCCAUUACACUUAAAUCAACGGCCCAGAUGUUAGAUUUAGAAGAUUGAUUAUUCUUUGUGUUUACACUAAUAAUUCGUAAUGUUAUUAGAAAUAAGGGUAUAAUUGUAAAACUUAAAACUUGACCUUCCGUCUCCUACUAUCUUUUCCGAUUCUCUUGGCAGUAGAUAUGGAAAGAUUUAAGUUCCAUAUUAUAAAUGCUUUUUAGUGGGAUUUGAAUAAACAAAUUAAUAGUUACGAAAAUAUUAACCAUCCACAAGCUUUCAGUCCCAGCGCAUAUAGAAGGCGGCGAAUCUAGGGUUUUUGAAGAGACGAAAUGUCGAAAACGAAGGGUGGAUCUUGAGGUUCAUUGGGCAAAUUGCAAUGUGCGUAGGAAUUUUCCACUUUUUAGGAACUGGAGCAACAAGAAGCUUAGAGAUAGAGAGACAGUGGGAAUUAAUUCUGGUGGGUUUGGCGAUGGCGUGUUGAUGGAACCAAUUCCUUUACCCGAGGUCAGGAGACUGUCGCCAUUGGAAAAUUUGGCAAAGAUGGUGGAGGUUUUAUGUGAAGCAUAGAGAUGAUAUGUCGUGUUUUAUAAACUUUGUUGAUGCUGCACUACUUGAGGAUGAAUGUUUUAGGAAGAGUUUAGAUGAUUAGUUGGUGGAUAUUUUUAUGCCUUACGUUCAUACCUAUUUUGAGGAUGCAUCUAGAUGUUUUAUAUUAUAUUCCUACUGAAUAAAUGAAGGUUAUUUUAUUA